GCGGAGGGAUCAUUACCGAGUUUACAACUCCCAAACCCAAUGUGAACGUUACCAAACUGUUGCCUCGGCGGGAUCUCUGCCCCGGGUGCGUCGCAGCCCCGGACCAAGGCGCCCGCCGGAGGACCAACCAAAACUCUUAUUGUAUACCCCCUCGCGGGUUUUUUUAUAAUCUGAGCCUUCUCGGCGCCCCUCGUGGGCGUUUCGAAAAUGAAUCAAAACUUUCAACAACGGAUCUCUUGGUUCUGGCAUCGAUGAAGAACGCAGCGAAAUGCGAUAAGUAAUGUGAAUUGCAGAAUUCAGUGAAUCAUCGAAUCUUUGAACGCACAUUGCGCCCGCCAGUAUUCUGGCGGGCAUGCCUGUCCGAGCGUCAUUUCAACCCUCGAACCCCUCCGGGGGGUCGGCGUUGGGGAUCGGCCCUCCCUCUGCGGGGGCCGUCUCCGAAAUCCAGUGGCGGUCUCGCCGCAGCCUCUCCUGCGCAGUAGUUUGCACACUCGCACCGGGAGCGCGGCGCGUCCACAGCCGUUAAACACCCAACUUUCUGAAAUGUUGACCUCGGAUCAGGUAGGAAUACCCGCUGAACUUAAGCAUAUCAU
rnacentral:rRNA from 1 species